rnacentral:rRNA from 1 species
CGCGUAGGCGGUCUUGUCGGUCAGAUGUGAAAGCCCAGGGCUCAACCUUGGACGUGCAUUUGAAACAGCAAGACUUGAGUACGGGAGAGGAAAGCGGAAUUCCUGGUGUAGAGGUGAAAUUCGUAGAUAUCAGGAGGAACACCGAUGGCGAAGGCAGCUUUCUGGACCGAUACUGACGCUGAGGCGCGAAGGCGUGGGUAGCGAACAGGAUUAGAUACCCUGGUAGUCC